UUCACUAAGCCUGUAGUCUACAGUAGAGACCUGCUAGUCUUCUCUAAGUCUGUAGUCUACAGUAGAGACCUGCUAGUCUUCACUAAGCCUGUAGUCUACAGUAGAGACCUGCUAGUCUUCUCUAAGCCUGUAGUCUACAGUAGAGACCUGCUAGUCUUCUCUAAGCCUGUAGUCUACAGUAGAGACCUGCUAGUCUUCACUAAGCCUGUAGUCUACAGUAGAGACCUGCUAGUCUUCUCUAAGCCUGUAGUCUACAGUAGAGACCUGCUAGUCUUCUCUAAGCAUGUAGUCUACAGUAGAGACCUUCCUCUCUCACUCUCCUCUUCUCUCUCCCUCCUCCCAGGCGCCCCUACCGGUCCCUAUCUUAAAGAGGACCAGUUCCACUGGCAGCUCCAUGCUCACUAUUACCCCCUGCUCCGGUCUGCCGGUGUGCGUAAGUUCAUGGUGGGAUAUGAAAUGCUGGCGCAGGAGCAGAGAGACCUUACACCUGAACAGGCUGCUGAACGACUGAGGAACCUUCCAGAAGAACACUACAAGACCAUUGAGACGGCAGGAAAGAUUGGUGGAGAGACACCUCUGGCCCUACCACAACUCUGACCCUACCACACCUCUGACCCUACCACACCCCUGACCCUACCACACCUCUGAUCCUGACCCUACCACACCUCUGACCCUACCACACCUCUGAUCCUACCACACCUCUGAUCCUGACCCUACCACACACCUGACCCUACCACACCUCUGAUCCUGACCCUACCACACACCUGACCCUACCACACCUCUGACCCUACAACACCUCUGACCCUACCACACCUCUGAUCCUGACUCUACCACACCUCUGACCCUACCACACCUCUGACCCUACCAACACUAUGACCCUACCACACCUCUGACCCUACCCCACCUCUGAUCCUGACCCUACCACACCUCUGAUCCUGACCCUACCACACCCCUGACCCUACCACACCCCUGACCCUACCACACCUCUGACCCUACCACACCUCUGAUCCUGACCCUACCACACCCCUGACCCUACCACACCUCUGACCCUACCACACCUCUGAUCCUGACCCUACCACACCCCUGACCCUACCCUACCACACCCCUGACCCUACCACUACUCUGACCCUACCACACCUCUGACCCUGACCCUACCACACCUCUGACCCUACCACACCUCUGACCCUGACCCUACCACACCUCUGACCCUACCCCACCUCUGACCCUACCACACCUCUGAUCCUGACCCUACCACACCUCUGACCCUACCACACCUCUGAUCCUGACCCUACCACACCUCUGAUCCUGACCCUACCACACCUCUGAUCCUGACCCUACCACACCUCUGACUUUAACUCUGUCACAGGAUCAUCAACUAGACUCAGCAGCCAGUUGGUGAACCCUGGUCACAUUGACAUUAGAUAUUAAAGUAUGAAUAACAGGAAGUGCCUAUCAAAACUAUCAACAGUUUGAUACAAAUAAUACUAGAUCUCUUUUUGGGAAGAGAAAUAUAUAACAUUGCUGAUGGUGCCUUCAGAAAGUUUUCACACCCCUUUUUCCACAUUUAGCUUCAGCCUGAAGUUAAAAUGUAUUAGAUUAAGAUGUUAUGUCACUGGCCUACACAAUAUACCCCAUAAUGUUAAAUUGGAAUAAUGUUUGUAAAUUGAUAAAAAUAAAAAGUUAAAAUGUC